rnacentral:rRNA from 1 species
AUUGAACGCUGGCGGCAGGCCUAACACAUGCAAGUCGAGCGGAUGAAGGGAGCUUGCUCCUGGAUUCAGCGGCGGACGGGUGAGUAAUGCCUAGGAAUCUGCCUGGUAGUGGGGGAUAACGUCCGGAAACGGGCGCUAAUACCGCAUACGUCCUGAGGGAGAAAGUGGGGGAUCUUCGGACCUCACGCUAUCAGAUGAGCCUAGGUCGGAUUAGCUAGUUGGUGGGGUAAAGGCCUACCAAGGCGACGAUCCGUAACUGGUCUGAGAGGAUGAUCAGUCACACUGGAACUGAGACACGGUCCAGACUCCUACGGGAGGCAGCAGUGGGGAACAUUGGACAAUGGGCGAAAUCCUGAUCCAGCCCUGCCGCGUGUGUGCAGAAGGUCUUCGGAUUGUAAAGCACUUUAAGUUGGGAGGAAGGGCAGUAAGUUAAUACCUUGCUGUUUUGACGUUACCAACAGAAUAAGCACCGGCUAACUUCGUG